GGAAAGGCGCGCGAUACAGGGUGACAGCCCCGUACACAAAAAUGCACAUGCUGUGAGCUCGAUGAGUAGGGCGGGACACGUGGUAUCCUGUCUGAAUAUGGGGGGACCAUCCUCCAAGGCUAAAUACUCCUGACUGACCGAUAGUGAACCAGUACCGUGAGGGAAAGGCGAAAAGAACCCCGGCGAGGGGAGUGAAAAAGAACCUGAAACCGUGUACGUACAAGCAGUGGGAGCACGCUUAGGCGUGUGACUGCGUACCUUUUGUAUAAUGGGUCAGCGACUUAUAUUCUGUAGCAAGGUUAACCGAAUAGGGGAGCCGAAGGGAAACCGAGUCUUAACUGGGCGUUAAGUUGCAGGGUAUAGACCCGAAACCCGGUGAUCUAGCCAUGGGCAGGUUGAAGGUUGGGUAACACUAACUGGAGGACCGAACCGACUAAUGUUGAAAAAUUAGCGGAUGACUUGUGGCUGGGGGUGAAAGGCCAAUCAAACCGGGAGAUAGCUGGUUCUCCCCGAAAGCUAUUUAGGUAGCGCCUCGUGAAUUCAUCUCCGGGGGUAGAGCACUGUUUCGGCAAGGGGGUCAUCCCGACUUACCAACCCGAUGCAAACUGCGAAUACCGGAGAAUGUUAUCACGGGAGACACACGGCGGGUGCUAACGUCCGUCGUGAAGAGGGAAACAACCCAGACCGCCAGCUAAGGUCCCAAAGUCAUGGUUAAGUGGGAAACGAUGUGGGA
rnacentral:rRNA from 1 species